rnacentral:rRNA from 1 species
AGAAUGCUUCUGGUGGGAUUAAAAUGCGAGUCGUACGUUUCGAAGCCCGAGUGGAACGCGGCAUACGGCUCAGCAACACGUGGCUAACCCACCCUCGGGACGGAGACAACCCCGGGAAACUGGGGCUAAUACCCGAUAGGCGAGGACUCCUGGAAUGGGUCUUCACCUAAAGGAAGUUAGAAUCAUGCUUUCUAACCUCGCCCGAGGAUGGGGCCGCGGCCGAUCAGGUAGUUGGUGAGGUAACGGCUCACCAAGCCUAUAACCGGUACGGGCCGUGGGAGCGGGAGCCCGGAGAUGGGCACUGAGACAAGGGCCCAGGCCCUACGGGGCGCAGCAGUUGCGAAAACUCCGCAAUGCACGAAAGUGUGACGGGGCUACCCCGAGUGCCGUCCGCUGAGGAUGGCUUUUCUCCGCUUUAAGGAGGCAGAGGAAUAAGGAGAGGGCAAGCCUGGUGUCAGCCGCCGCGGUAAUACCAGCUCUCCGAGUGGUAGGGAUGAUUAUUGGGCUUAAAGCGUCCGUAGCCGGCUUUUCAAGUCUUCCGUCAAAUCCAGCGAUUCAAUCGUUGGACUGCGGGAGAUACUGCUAAGCUAGGGGGCGGGAGAAGCCGACGGUAUUCUCGGGGUAGGGGUAAAAUCCUAUAAUCCCUGGAAGACCACCAGUGGCGUAGGCGGUCGGCUAGCACGCGCUCGACGGUGAGGGACGAAAGCUGGGGGAGCAAACCGGAUUAGAUACCCGGGUAGUCCCAGCUGUAAACGAUGCGGGCUAGGUGUCGGAGCGGCUACGAGCCGCUUCAGUGCCGCAGGGAAGCCAUUAAGCCCGCCGCCUGGGGAGUACGGCCGCAAGGCUGAAACUUAAAG